UCAGAGAGAAGAGAUGGGACGA
rnacentral:miRNA from 1 species